rfam:Intoshia linei isolate Intl2013 Contig_25987, whole genome shotgun sequence.
GUCGGUUAUGGUGACAUGAUACCGAUUAGUUCUUUAGGGAAAAUUAUUGGUUCUCUCUGUGCCAUUACUGGUGUACUCACUAUUGCUUUACCUGUACCCGUUAUUGUUUCCAAU